UGACUGAAGGGGUGUCUGUCGCAAAAGACUCCUAUGAUUUUUAAUAAGGGGUGAAAGGCCAAUCAAGUUCAGUGAUAGCUGGUUUCCUGCGAAACCUAUUUAGGUAAGGUUGGAAUUUAAAACAGCAAGGGUUAGUACUUUGGUGCAAAUACUUGUUGAUUCAAUAGAACAAAUCAGACAUGUGGCGGGAAGGUUUCAUGUCAAAAGGAAAAGAGUCCUAAAGUGUAGCUAAAGUCCCAAAAUUU
rnacentral:rRNA from 14 species